GUCAUGUGACUGACGGAAGUGGAGUAUACCACAGGGAGCAUGAUGUGAAUAAGCCGGCCGUCUGGGCAA
rnacentral:ncRNA from 1 species